rnacentral:rRNA from 1 species
UACGUAGGGUGCGAGCGUUGUCCGGAUUCACUGGGUUUAAAGGGUGCGUAGGUGGGCUGGUAAGUCAGUGGUGAAAUCUCCAGGCUUAACUUGGAAACUGCCAUUGAUACUAUUAGUCUUGAAUACCGUGGAGGUCAGCGGAAUAUGUCAUGUAGCGGUGAAAUGCUUAGAUAUGACAUAGAACACCAAUUGCGAAGGCAGCUGGCUACACGAAUAUUGACACUGAUGCACGAAAGCGUGGGGAUCAAACAGG